rnacentral:rRNA from 1 species
AGGGCAAGUCUGGUGCCAGCAGCCGCGGUAAUUCCAGCUCCAAUAGCGUAUAUUAAAGUUGUUGCAGUUAAAAAGCUCGUAGUUGAAUUUCGGGAUCAAUUUACUGGUCGUGCAAUCGUACGUACUGGUUUUAUUGAUUCCUCUCUUCUGAAGAACUAUGAUGUCAUUAAUUUGGUGUCAUAGGGAAUCAGGACUGUUACUUUGAAAAAAUUAGAGUGUUUAAAGCAGGCUCACGCUUGAAUACAUUAGCAUGGAAUAACGAAAUAGGACGUUUGAUUCUAUUUUGUUGGUUUCUAGGAUCGACGUAAUGAUUAAUAGGGAUAGUUGGGGGCAUUAGUAUUCAAUUGUCAGAGGUGAAAUUCUUGGAUUUAUUGAAGACUAACUACUGCGAAAGCAUUUGCCAAGGAUGUUUUCAUUAAUCAAGAACGAAAGUUAGGGGAUCGAAGACGAUCAGAUACCGUCGUAGUCCUAACCAUAAACUAUGCCGACUAGGGAUCGGAUGAUGUUAAAUUAAUGACUCUUCGGCGCCUUACGGGAA